rnacentral:rRNA from 1 species
ACGAUGUAUACGGACUGACGCCUGCCCGGUGCUGGAAGGUUAAGGGGACUGGUUAGCCGCAAGGCGAAGCUGAGAACUUAAGCCCCAGUAAACGGCGGUGGUAACUAUAACCAUCCUAAGGUAGCGAAAUUCCUUGUCGGGUAAGUUCCGACCUGCACGAAUGGCGUAACGACUUGAGCGCUGUCUCAUCCGUGAACUCGGCGAAAUUGCAUUACGAGUAAAGAUGCUCGUUACGCGCAGAAAGACGGAAAGACCCCGGGACCUUUACUAUAUCUUGAUAUUGGUGUUCGGAACGGUUUGUGUAGCAUAGGUGGGAGACUUUGAAGCGGGCACGCCAGUGUUUGUGGAGUCAUCGUUGAAAUACCACUCUGAUCGUUUUGAACUUCUAACCUCGGUCCGUAAUCCGGAUCAGGGACAGUGUCUGGUGGGUAGUUUGACUGGGGCGGUCGCCUCCUAAAAAGUAACGGAGGCGCUCAAAGGUUCCCUCAGCCUGGUUGGUAAUCAGGUGUCGAGUGUAAGUGCACAAGGGAGCUUAACUGUGAGACAGACAUGUCGAGCAGGUGCGAAAGCAGGAACUAGUGAUCCGGCGGUGGCUUGUGGAAGCGCCGUCGCUCAACGGAUAAAAGGUACCCCGGGGAUAACAGGCUGAUCUUGCCCAAGAGUCCAUAUCGACGGCAAGGUUUGGCACCUCGAUGUCGGCUCGUCUCAUCCUGGGGCUGGAGUAGGUCCCAAGGGUUGGGCUGUUCGCCCAUUAAAGAGGCACGCGAGCUGGGUUCAGAACGUCGUGAGACAGUUCGGUCCCUAUCUUCUGUGCGCGCAGGAAACUUGAGAAGGGCUGUCCCUAGUACGAGAGGACCGGGACGGACGAACCUCUGGUGUGUCGGUUGUUAUGCCAAUAGCACCGCCGAUUAGCUACGUUCGGAAGGGAUAACCGCUGAAAGCAUCUAAGCGGGAAGCUCGCUUCAAGAUUAGGUUUCCCACCGGUUUACCGGGUAAGGCCCCCAGCUAGACGACUGGGUUGAUAGGCCGGAAGUGGAAGAGGCGUAAGCCUUGGAGCUGACCGGUACUAAUAGGCCGAGGAUUUAACUAC